rnacentral:rRNA from 1 species
UACGGAGGGUGCAAGCGUUAUCCGGAUUUACUGGGUUUAAAGGGUGUGUAGGCGGGUCUUUAAGUCAGUGGUGAAAUCUCCGAGCUCAACUUCGAAACUGCCAUUGAUACUAUUGAUCUUGAAUUUUGUUGAGGUAGGCGGAAUAAGUCAUGUAGCGGUGAAAUGCAUAGAUAUGACUUAGAACACCAAUUGCGAAGGCAGCUUGCUAAACAAAUAUUGACGCUGAGGCACGAAAGCGUGGGGAUCAAACAGG